rnacentral:rRNA from 1 species
UCAACGGAGAGUUUGAUCCUGGCUCAGGACGAACGCUGGCGGCGUGCUUAACACAUGCAAGUCGAACGGUAAGGCCCUUCGGGGUACACGAGUGGCGAACGGGUGAGUAACACGUGAGUAAUGUGCCCUUGACACUGGGAUAACAGUUAGAAAUAGCUGCUAAUACCGGAUACUCUCCUUGGCAGGCAUCUGCUAAGGAGGAAAGCUCCGACGGUCAAGGAUCUGCUCGCGGCCUAUCAGCUUGUUGGUGAGGUAACGGCUCACCAAGGCUUCGACGGGUAGCCGGCCUGAGAGGGUGACCGGCCACAUUGGGACUGAGAUACGGCCCAGACUCCUACGGGAGGCAGCAGUGGGGAAUAUUGCACAAUGGGCGCAAGCCUGAUGCAGCAACGCCGCGUGUGGGAUGAAGGCCCUCGGGUCGUAAACCACUUUCGCCAGGGACGAAGCGCAAGUGACGGUACCUGGUAAAGAAGCACCGGCUAACUACGUGCCAGCAGCCGCGGUGAUACGUAGGGUGCGAGCGUUGUCCGGAAUUAUUGGGCGUAAAGAGCUUGUAGGCGGUUUGUCACGUCGGGAGUGAAAACUCAGGGCUUAACCCUGAGCCUGCUUUCGAUACGGGCUGACUAGAGGAAGGUAGGGGAGAAUGGAAUUCCCGGUGGAGCGGUGGAAUGCGCAGAUAUC